ACUUAGAAACUCACUGUUCCAUCAACAUUUUCUCUAAGUCCAAGGCCUUGAAGACUUGGUCCUCCAUGUGUCUUUGUUGGAUCCAGGGUCCAACAAUCAAGGCUGUCACCCAACCCCCACGGGUCACCUUUCCAGGCCUCUGUGGGUCAGCAUCUCUAUCAUUUUCCUGGCUGGCCAUUGAAUGCUUCUAUCCCAUUCUCCAUUUUGUCUCAAUCUACGCAUCUCCCCGAGGAAGGACCAAAGGUUGGCAAGGAGGGUGUAUUCGUUACUUUCCCCAUUGCUAUGACCAAAUACCUGACCAGAAGCAACUUAAGGAAGGAACGGGUUGUUUGGUCUUACAGUUUAGGAACGGGAAUGGAUAUAGCGAACCUGGUGAAGUUGGUGGGAAUGGGGUGGUCACGUGGUCUCAAAGUCAGGAAGCACUCAGUAACCCGGAAGUGGGGUUGGGGGGUUGGGAGGGUGUUAAGGCUUUUAAACCUGAAGACUCAGCUACUUCCUUCCUUCAGCAAGGCUCCACUUGUCAAAGGGUCCACAACCUUCCGAAACAGCCCUACAAAAUGGAAGUUUUCAAAACAUAACUUUAUGGGAGACGUUUCAUAGUCAAUGCACCACAGAGGGCCUGGACCUCCUGCUGCCCUGGUGCUUUAGAGUCUUGGAAGCCAAGCCCGGGAUUUCUGGAACCCUGCCUUUAGAGAUAAAAGGGACCCUCGAGCAGAGAUCGGUCCCCCUGAAAUCUCAGCUGAGUUCUAACUGAAUCUAGUCUCUGACCUAGAGGAGUUCCUGUCCGGGUGGAGUCUCAAUUUGCCUCUCUGUAGGCGGUCCCGGAUGCUUCACCCCAGAGAUCCUUCCCGAAGACGAUGGAUCAGAAGAAGAAAAGAGAGGGUUUGCUGAGGAGUAAGUGGGAGUAAAGAUGACAUCAUUAUGUUCUGUCCAUUUGGAGGGCUGAACGUUUUAAUGGGUCAUAGCCCAGCCUCAGUUCUGGUCCAAAGCUAUGUUUCCUGAUCCACCACGAUGUGAGAAAGUCGCUUCAUGUUCCUGCUGCCACAAAUAAGAGCUGCUUCCAGCAUCAUCCCCAUUAACCAUGUGUUCCCAUCAUUAGUGUCGUACAACUACAUGCAGACCUUGUGGAAGAAACUGCCAUGGUACAGAGCAAACACUGGAGCGAGGCUUCUGGAGAACAAAGGACCCUUGGUGGAGGCAUCACUCCUUGUUUGUAAAGGGAUGGAUGUUCCUAAAACAUGCAUGCCCAUGGGAGAGCUCCUGGAGACCGGGGGGCAAGACAGGCAGCUGGCAGGAAAUGGCUGACACCAGGAGAGGCACAAGAGCCACCACUAAAGGACCCCUCUCCUGGGACCCAUUCUCUCACUCUGGCCCCACUCUACCGUCCCUACAACAGAAAGGGCUGCUAAGAGUGCAAACUCCAAGGCCAAGUGGAGCUCCUCUGUGGCUGUUGUGGAAAGCCACCGCUCAGCCCUCAUCCAACAACUGGUGGAAGUAGAAGCAGACACCCACAACUAAUCACUGAACUGAA